CCAUAAAUGACCGAGUCGGGCAGCACAUUAAGCAGUGCGUUUCCCCUCCAAAAUAAAAGAAAAAGAGCAUAGACUCUGGAAUACAGCCAACAUGCCAGGAACGAAAGGUAAUAAAUCGGACAAGAAGUCAGCUACCAAGCAACCUCAGAGUCCUAAAGAACAGCCGAAAAAAGGUGACCAGAAAGGAGACGAUAACAAGAAGCAAGGAGGACAGCCGAAGGGAGAGAAGCAAUAACUUCCAGGCGUUUGUGAAGAUGGCUUUGGAGACGCUGCUGGGGUCCUGCCGCCGUAAACACGGGGGUCCCCAGGGAAGACAGAGCUGAGCGUCCCUCCCCUCCUCCUUCUUCUUCUGCAGCCUGUGCUGCUGCAUAGCCCUGCAAUACAACAUCUGCUCGCCCCCACAGAGAGGCACAAGGCAGACCUGAUUUCCAUCCAUCACCAUCUGUUUCUACCCUCUGUUCUUCUCGGCCCAUUCCUCUCUAACCCAAAGUCUCCUCUCUCCCUCGCUGGAUGCUAAGAAAGAGACUUCAGGUUAGAUCAGACUAAUGUCCCCCCCCCCAACACCAGCCCUCCUUUAUGCCAACACCGACUGUUCAACAGCGUAUACUUUCUUUUUGUAAAUAAAAACUGAAAUAAAAACAAAUGAUUUA